GGGGGUGAAAGGCCAAUCAAACCGGGAGAUAGCUGGUUCUCCCCGAAAGCUAUUUAGGUAGCGCCUCGUGAAUUCAUCUCCGGGGGUAGAGCACUGUUUCGGCUAGGGGGCCAUCCCGGCUUACCAACCCGAUGCAAACUGCGAAUACCGGAGAAUGUUAUCACGGGAGACACACGGCGGGUGCUAACGUCCGUCGUGAAGAGGGAAACAACCCAGACCGCCAGCUAAGGUCCCAAAGUCAUGGUUAAGUGGGAAACGAUGUGGGAAGGCCCAGACAGCCAGGAUGUUGGCUUAGAAGCAGCCAUCAUUUAAAGAAAGCGUAAUAGCUCACUGGUCGAGUCGGCCUGCGCGGAAGAUGUAACGGGGCUAAACCAU
rnacentral:rRNA from 1 species